CUACGGGAGGCUCCAGUGGGGAAUAUUGGACAAUGGGUGAAACCCUGAUCCAGCAAUGCCGCGUGUGUGAAGAAGGCCUGCGGGUUGUAAAGCACUUUCGGUUGGGAGGACUGCUUCUAGCACUAAUAUUGUUGGAAGUUGACGUUACCUUCAGAAGAAGCACCGGCUAACUCCGUGCCAGCAGCCGCGGUAAUACGGAGGGUGCAAGCGUGAAUCGGAAUUACUGGGCGUAAAGCGCGCGUAGGCGGCUAGAUCAGUCGGGUGUGAAAGCCCCGGGAUUAACCUGGGAACUGCAUCCGAUACUGUCUAGCUGGAGUACAGGAGAGGAGAGUGGAAUUCCACAUGUAGCGGUGAAAUGCGUAGAUAUGUGGAGGAACACCAAUGGCGAAGGCAGCUCUCUGGCCUGAUACUGACGCUGAGGUGCGAAAGCGUGGGGAGCAAACAGGAUUAGAUACCCCCGUAGUC
rnacentral:rRNA from 1 species